UGGCAUGCCCGUGAACCGUUUUUUGACUCGGAUAAUUUCAGUACUCGCUUCCGGCUCGCUUCCGGCUCGCCUUCAGCUCGUCCUGAAAUCUUCAUCCUUGCCAAAAAAACAGGCGGUUUACGGGCAUGCCACAUAAAUAGCUAUUAUAAAUACAUCAAAAUGUGGAAAC